ACAGGGGUCAAAGGUCCGUCGAGUUAUUUCCCGGAUCCGAGUUUGACGUCUUUUCCCCGCCGCUUGCGGUGGUUGUGACCGAACUUUGAGUUUUGGAACAGGUCACAUGGCUUUGAAAUCACGGUCCAUUCACCUGGUGCUGCUUUGGCUUCAGGCUCUUCCUUCUGCCCAGCUCCAUCCCACCCAGCAGCCCGCAGAGAAAGGAGGCAGCUGGCACCACACUGGGCUUUGGAGACACUGCGGGGACUGUGGACCCCACCCUGCUGCACGGAGCUCCUGCAAAAGCAAACCUGAGAACCUUGGGUCCUCCCAGCGCCCAGCCAUGGGGGAACUGUGCCGCAGGGACUCCACACUCACGGCACUGGACGAGGAGACACUGUGGGAGAUGAUGGAGAGCCACCGCCACAGGAUCGUACGCUGCAUCUGCCCCAGCCGCCUCACCCCCCACCUGCGCCAGGCCAAGGUGCUGUGCCAGCUGGACGAGGAGGAGGUGCUGCACAGCCCCCGGCUCACCAACAGCGCCAUGCGGGCCGCCAGGGCUGAUGAUAGAAAGCAGCAGAGAAUCUCCAAGUGUAAGACAUUAGUCAAAGGCCCGGCGUGGAGCCCACAGGUCCUUAGCGUUCGGAAGACGAUUGCCUUCCCAGCCCACUCCAAGGAAGAAUCAGUGCUGCCUGGCAGCAGCCUCCAGGGACAAGAGAGAAAAAAGCUCAGCAUUAGCAGAGAAGACGGACUUCUGCAGUGGCACCUACAGCUGUUCCCUUGGCCUCCCAAACAACCCAGGUGUGACGUCGGGAACCGGGAAUGCAGGCAACAGAGUGAUUCCAGCUGCCUCACAAGGAAGAGGGUGUGUGGGAAGAGCAGAGCAUCCGGGCUGGAAGCACAGUCAGAACCCUGCGUGCAGCCGGACACUCACUGUUCUUCCCCACGUGUGCUGGGCACCCGCCCUGCGUCAGGCUCUGUUCCAGGAGUUGGGUGAAACGGUGACUGAAAUAGACAGAACUCCUGUCGGUGAUGCCCACGUGAGAGAAUAUAAUCAAUGGACAAUGCACCGCACAUAUUUAAAACGUGCAAAUUGAUCCGUUUUGACAUGUGAAUGUCUGUGAACCAGCUCUACAGUUAAGAUGGUGACCAUCUCCAUCACCCUCAAAGUUUCCUUCUCCUCUUUGGAAUCCCCUCACUCCAGUCUCCAGCCACCCACUGAAUGGAAACCACUGGACUGAACGGUGUGAUCCUCCCACGGUGCAUUUCAUCUCGGCACGGGACUGGACGGCGUGAUGCUCCCACGGUACAUUUCAUCUCCUCACAGGACUGAACGGUGUGAUCCUCCCACGGUGCAUUUCAUCGCGGCACGGGACUGGACGGCGUGAUGCUCCCACGGUACAUUUCACUUCCUCACAGGACUGAACGGUGUGAUCCUCCCACGGUGCAUUUCAUUGCGGCACGGGACUGGACGGCGUGAUGCUCCCACGGUACAUUUCACUUCCUCACAGGACUGAACGGUGUGAUCCUCCCACGGUGCAUUUCAUCUCGGCACGGGACUGGAUGGCGUGAUGCUCCCACAGUGCAUUACAUUUUGUCAUGGGACUGGACAGUGCAGUGCCUCCACAGUGCAUUUGAUUUCAGCACAGGACUGGACCGGGCAAUACCCCCACAGUGCAUUUCAUUUUGUCAUGGGACGGGAUGGUGUGAUGCUCCCCACAGUGCAUUUCAUUGGCCAUUUUUGGUAUCUCCGAAAAGCCAAAGAAAUCGGGUAAUACUGUGCAAAAGAGAGCGGAGCGUUAGACCUCAGGAGACUCUCCAUGUUGCGCUUGAAACUCCACAAGGAAAGCAGAAGCCCUCCAACCAACGGUGAGUGGCAUCUUUUUUUUCUGAGUUCCUUAAGGGGUUUGGGUCAUUAGAAAUCUCUAGAUCUCUUUACAUGGUACUGAAUAUGGCAGCGGAAGCAGGAGUGGGGCGGAGUAAAAGUAUACGGGAGAACAAUUUUUUUUUAAUGAAGUGAACAGAGGUGUCAGAGGCGUUCGAACCAGAGUGACUCCAUCUUGAACAGGGUCCGGGUAAAAUAAGGCUGAGGCCCACUGGGCUGCAUUCCCAGGAGGUUAGACAUUCUUAGUCAGAGGAUGAGAUAGGAGGUUGGCACAAAAUAUAGGUCACAAAGACCUUGCUGAUGAAACAGGAUGCGAUGAAGAAGCCAGCCAGAACCCACCAAAACCAGGAUGGCGAUGGAAGUGACCUCUGCCUGUCCUCCCUGCUCAUUAUAUGCUAAUUAUAAUGUGUUAGCAUGCAAAAUGACACUCCUACCAGCGCCAUGAUGGUUUACAAAUGCCAUGGCAAUGUCAGGAAGUUACCCCGUGUGGUCUAAAAAGAGAGGGAAUCGGUCGGGCAUGGUGGCUCACGCCUGUAAUCCCAGCACUUUGGGAGGCCGAGGUGGGCGGAUUACCUGAGGUCAGGAGUUUGAGCCCAGCCUGGCCAACAAGGUGAAACUCCUCUCUACUAAAAAUACAAAAAUUAGCCAGGCAUGCUGGCGGACGCCUGUAAUUCCAGCUACUCUGGAGGCUGAGGCAGGAGAAUUGCUUGAGCCUGGGAGGCGGAGGUUGUAGUGAGCCAGGAUCGUGCCACUGCACUCCAG